GACGAACGCUGGCGGCGUGCUUAACACAUGCAAGUCGAACGGAAAGGCCCUGCUUGCAGGGUACUCGAGUGGCGAACGGGUGAGUAACACGUGGGUGAUCUGCCCUGCACUUCGGGAUAAGCCUGGGAAACUGGGUCUAAUACCGGAUAGGAGCCAUUUUUAGUGUGAUGGUUGGAAAGUUUUUUCGGUGUAGGAUGAGCUCGCGGCGUAUCAGCUUGUUGGUGGGGUAAUGGCCUACCAAGGCGGCGACGGGUAGCCGGCCUGAGAGGGUGGACGGCCACACUGGGACUUAGAGACGGCACAGACUCCUACGGGUGGCAGCAGUGGGGAAGACUGCACAAUGGGCGCAAGCCUGAUGCAGCGACGCCGCGUGGGGGAUGACGGCCUUCGGGUUGUAAACUCCUUUCGCUAGGGACGAAGCUUUUUGUGACGGUACCUAGAUAAGAAGCACCGGCUAACUACGUG
rnacentral:rRNA from 1 species